rnacentral:piRNA from 1 species
UGCGCAUGAAUGAAUGAACGACGGUGUU